UCAGUCUAUCUCUGAUCGCCCAAUGAUUAAAUUUAAAUAUUUUUAAGUACGAAGAGUUUUUUAUCUAAAAAGCAAGCAAAAUUUUUGAAAACGUUCAAUUGAUUGAAUUUUAUUUUUUCACUAAAAAAGGAAAAUAAAAUAAGAAAAACGAGGAAAGCAUUUUUUCUUCACCAAAAUCUAUAAGUAAAAUUUUAAAGAAAAAUUAAAAUAGCAACCAGCAACGAAACGAAUUACGUCAAUUUUAAAAGAUAUAUUUUCAACUACAACAACAACAACCUAUACACACAUUUGUGUUCACAUACAAUAAUUCAUACAUAUCGAGAAAAGUUAAAAGUAGAUAGAAAAAAAUAUAAAAUAAAAAUUGUUUGCAAAAGAACAGAAACAGUGGAGAUACAAUAGACAAUAAACUAAACGAAAAAAAAAAUACCGCCUACAUACACAUCAGAACAAGAGAACGAUCCAUACACGUUUAUUUUCAAAUACAAAAAAAAAAACUAAAUAAAAGAGGCGUAGUAGUUGUUACUCUUAAAACAAUUGAACUGUUUAAAGAAAAGAGCGAGCGCACUUGAAAGAGAUUUCAAUGAAAUUUUAAAUAAAAAACUUUUUUUAUCGAACGAAAAUAAAAUAACAAAAAAUUUUAUUUAACAAUUUACAGAGCGAUCAUACGAACGAAAAACAAAUUAAAGCCUUAAGAAACAAACAACAACAAAAAAAGAACCCUAAAAAAACAAAAAUUAACAACAGCAACAACAAUAAGCACAAAAUUAAACGUGAAGAAUUGUUUGCGAUUUUUCUCACAAGGAAAUAAUACAACAACAACAGCAACGUCAUACUAUAUAUUGAAAAAAGUAGCAACAAUAAAAAAGCUAUUUUUUUAAUUAUUUGAGGUUUUAUGGUGGGAAAAUCCAUUAAUAUUUAAAAAUAUUAAAGAAAAUAAAACCGCUACACACACUCACUUCACAACACAAGUAUUGCAGCAGCAACAACAACAGCACCAGCUACCAACAAUAAUAAAUAAAAAAAAUUGCAUCACAAAUUUGUUGUUGUAUAUCUUAAUAGCAGCAACAACAAGUGAGUAAAUAUAAAAAAGAAACCAACAUUAAAAAUAAAAGAGAGAAAAAAUACUAAAAUAAAAAGAUUGAUCGCCUAGACAGGUGCCGGCACGUUCAUAUAUAAUUAUUAUUUAAUAUUUUUUUCUUCAUUUGUUAUUGUUUAUUUAACCCGUGGUGUUGGACAUUUUUGUUUAAACGAAAUUCUUAAAAAAAAACACAUAACUCAAAUAAAUACGAAUAAAUUUCAACGAUCUAAGAAUAAAAGAAAAAAAUUAUAAAAAAAAUAUUAAACUAAAAACGAAUUAAAUAAAAAUUCAAUUAUAAAUUGCAAAAAAAAUAUAUUUAAUUAAUAUUCAACAAUUGUCUAAAAAAAACCCUUUUAUGUUAAAUCAAAACAAAAGAAAACACACAAAGUUACAAACACAUAAUCUAUAAUCUACAACAACAUAUAAACUAACCUGACAACGACUACGACGAAAACAUAAAAAAGUAAUAAAAAAAAACAAAAACAAACAAACAAAAGGUGCGAGAAAGAGGGAGAGAGCGACAUCGAGAGCUAAAACGACAAAAGAAAAACAAAAAAAAAUAUAUUCAAAUAUUCUUAUUUAAAAUUUAAAGCGGAAGAAUCGCAAGAAGGCAAACAUCACAAAUCCUAACGAAAAAGGAUUAUCAUCUACAAAAUACUCUUCGAAAACAUAUACGAUAACUAAUUAAAUAAGAAAAUAAAUAAUAA
rnacentral:lncRNA from 1 species